AAGUCGUAACAAGGUUUCCGUAGGUGAACCUGCGGAAGGAUCAUUAUUGAAUAAACUUGGUCAAGCUGAUGCUGGUCUUUCGAGACAUUGUGCACGCUUGCCACCAAAUUUAACCACCUGUGCACCCCUUGUAGACUGGAAACAACUUUUGAGGAAACUCAGAUUGAGGACUGCUGUGCGAAAGCCGGCUGUUUUUGCGUUUCCUAGUCUAUGUUUUCAUAUACUCCCAAUGUAUGUUAUCAGAAUGUCAUUGUAAGGCUUAAUCGCCUUUAAACUAAAUACAACUUUCAACAACGGAUCUCUUGGCUCUC
rnacentral:misc_RNA from 1 species